AAUCUCUACUGGGCCCAGAACUAAACUAAUUAUCCCGUCACAGAGCCGUCUUCUCUCCCUCAUCUACUGCUUUCUCUGGGUUCUUUACUCUGUGCUGGUUCUCAGUAAUUCCAGAAUGUCGCCAGUAAGGAAUGGACCAGUGGGGACUUCAACAGAGGAGCACAUGUAAAGAAAGAGCAGUGGACAGGGCAGCAGAGUGUCAUCCGGCCUUGAAGAGGAGGGCAGGCUCUCAUUUGUAACAGCACAGCCACAUCUGCAGCAGACAUCAUUGACUUGGGAUCCAACGACCAAUCUGAUGCUAAUAGCAGCAUUUUCUCAUGCUCUGCAAGAGCUUAAAAAGGUGCUACAGCCAGAACUCCAGUCGUCAGGAUGGACCUGGAGGCUGAGAGCAUGCUCACUUCUCUCCUCUCACCAGUUACCACAGCUCCUGUCACUGUCUGGUUUUAUAUUCUUGUUAGUCUCCAGUCUUCACAAGCCUGUCAAGUUGGAAACACAGCGACAGUGUUUAUCACGAGGGUUGAAGUAAAAAUUGAAUGCCUCGGGGCAGGUGGUAGAACUGGUUCUUAGUUAAGUCUGAGACUAAAGCCAGGGGUUCUAGCCUCUUUUCUCCUCUCCUUCCCGUUAUAAAUCAUAAUGUGUGCUCUCGUAUAA